rnacentral:snoRNA from 1 species
UCCAGGUCCUAAAAAAAAAGAAAAAAGGAGCCCAGAGUGACAAUUUUUCUACAAUCACCGUUCUGUUUGGUGUAUCUGAUCUGUGGCAUUUCAGGAAAAGACAGUU